rnacentral:rRNA from 1 species
CGGUGAAUACGUUCCCGGACCUUGCACACACCGCCCGUCAAGCCAUGGAAGCUGGGUGUACCUAAAGUCGGUAACCGCAAGGAGCCGCCUAGGGUAAAACUAGUGACCGGGGCU